GAUGAACGCUGGCGGCGUGCCUAAUACAUGCAAGUCGAGCGAAGCGGGGACGGGUGAGUAACACGUGGAUAACCUCCUAUAAGACUGGGAUAACUUCGGGAAACCGGAGCUAAAACGGAUACGUAUAGAUGGAUCCGCGCUGCAUUAGCUAGUUGGUAAGGUAACGGCUUACCAAGGCAACGAUGCAUAGCCGACCUGAGAGGUUUCUCGGCCACACUGGACCUGCGACACGGUCCAGACUCCUACGGGAGGCAGCAGUAGGGAAUCUUCCGCAAUGGGCGAAAGCCUGACGGAGCAACGCCGCGUGAUUUAUGAAGGUCUUCGGAUCGUAAAACUCUGUUAUUAGGGGAGCGGUACCUAGUCAGAAAGCCACGGCUAACUUCGUGCCAGCAGCCGCGGUAAUUC
rnacentral:rRNA from 1 species